GGCGAUGCAGCGCCGGCUGGUGUUCCUUGCAGCCUCCACGCAUCCGGGUGAGGACGAAAUCAUUCUCGAUGCGCACCGGCGUCUGGCAGCGCGGAUGCCGCAAUUGCUGAGCGUGAUCGUGCCGCGUCAUCCCAAUCGCGGCGCGGCCAUCGCGCGGAUGCUGACGGAUGGCGGCAUGCAGGUGGCCCUGCGCUCGCAGGACGAACUGCCCG
rnacentral:misc_RNA from 1 species